GAUAAGAUGAAUUUACAAACAAAAAUCUGGUUGAUUUGAUUUUAAAUUUUUCUUUCUUGGAUCGACAAUUUUGGUGGCUACCUGAACACAGGCAAUCUUCUGUCCGAUUGGAUCGAUUGAAAAUCGAUUAUAUAGAUCAUUCGUUUAUUUACCGGAGGAUAAUAAGGACACGACGGAAAAAUAUUGCCAGAAUUACAAGGAUCGAUUUGUUGUUGAGGAAAAGGCAUU